rnacentral:RNase_P_RNA from 1 species
CGCGGUUCGCCAGGCAAUCGCUGUAAUUCUUUCACGAAUUAUGGAGGAAAGUCCGAACUCUUUUCCGCUGCGCCGAUAGGCGUUGCGGGAUGGACACAGUGCCGGAUAACGUCCGGGGUCCCGGCUUGCCGGGAUACGGAAAGUGUCACAGAGAAUAUACCGUCCCGAUGGCAACAUCGGGAUAAGGGUGAAAAGGUGCGGUAUGCGAUCAAGCGUACUUAAUGUAAGAGCGCACCGCGGCAUCAGUAAUGGCGCCGGUCCGAAAGGAUCCCGUGCAAACGGGACAUGACAAACCCCACUGAGAGCAAGACCGCGUAAGUUUCGUUUCCCGUCCGCGGGAAAAGAGAUGUCCACUCAAUUCUUCACCGAGACGAAACGGGUAGGUCGCUAGAGCCGUACAGCAAUGUACGGCCCAGAGAAAUGAUUGCCUCCUCCGCGUCAGCGGAGCAGACAAAAUUCGGCUUAUCGGCGCGCCCGGUAC